rnacentral:rRNA from 1 species
AUGAACGCUGGCGGCGUGCCUAAUACAUGCAAGUCGAGCGAACAGACGAGGAGCUUGCUCCUCUGACGUUAGCGGCGGACGGGUGAGUAACACGUGGAUAACCUACCUAUAAGACUGGGAUAACUUCGGGAAACCGGAGCUAAUACCGGAUAAUAUAUUGAACCGCAUGGUUCAAUAGUGAAAGACGGUUUUGCUGUCACUUAUAGAUGGAUCCGCGCCGCAUUAGCUAGUUGGUAAGGUAACGGCUUACCAAGGCAACGAUGCGUAGCCGACCUGAGAGGGUGAUCGGCCACACUGGAACUGAGACACGGUCCAGACCCCUACGGGAGGCAGCAGUAGGGAAUCUUCCGCAAAGGGCGAAAGCCUGACGGAGCAACGCCGCGUGAGUGAUGAAGGUCUUCGGAUCGUAAAACUCUGUUAUUAGGGAAGAACAAAUGUGUAAGUAACUAUGCACGUCUUGACGGUACCUAAUCAGAAAGCCACGGCUAACUACGUG